rnacentral:rRNA from 1 species
CAGUAGCCGCGGUAACACGGAGGGUGCAAGCGUUAAUCGGAAUUACUGGGCGUAAAGCGCACGCAGGCGGUCUGUCAAGUCAGAUGUGAAAUCCCCGGGCUUAACCUGGGAACUGCAUUUGAAACUGGCAGGCUAGAGUCUUGUAGAGGGGGGUAGAAUUCCAGGUGUAGCGGUGAAAUGCGUAGAGAUCUGGAGGAAUACCGGUGGCGAAGGCGGCCCCCUGGACAAAGACUGACGCUCAGGUGCGAAAGCGUGGGGAGCAAACAGGAUUAGAUACCCGUGUAGUCCCUGUCUCUUAUAC